UUCCUCCUUCGCUCUCCUUUGACGCUCUUCCUUCCCUUUUCCUUCUCUUUCGCGUGCCAGCUGCCAAUCAAGCCACCCACCUCAAUUUGCGGGGGAAGGGGGGCGGGACCUAGCCCCCCUAUUACUAGGGGGGUUGUUAUGGUAACUCCCCACGCGAGGGCUGGAUGGCCUCUAGAUAGGAUGGGCUGUCCACCCACCUGAUUGCCAUGGCAACAGUGGAGCCGCCGAGGGAGGGGCCUCUGGGUGGGAAUCUGGCUGGAGACACCACGUGGGAGUUGGGCGGGGGUGCCGGCUGCCUCCGGAGUGCCCUUUACCCCCUUCCCCGGCUGGGGGACCUCAGAGGGGACGGGGAAUCCUACCGCACCCCUUUGUCUCUGCACCCCUCGUUCUGCGCAAAGGAGCUGUUUCAACAAUUAUUCAUUGAUCGCUGGAGCCGCGGGUGGGGGGGAGGGGUAGUAGGGAGAGGAGGAGGAACCCACGUCCGACCUCUUCAAAUCAUGCGCGGGUCACCUUGGCUCUGGUGUUGUUGGCACAGCACCCCCAGCCAUUAGCCUCACGGGAGGCGGGGUGAUGCUGUGAAAAGAAGGAGGAGUGGUGUUCCGCCACUGUCGUGCUGUGUGACCUUGAAGCAAUGAAACCCAGCGGCCGCAACAAUGUUUAACCGGAAACAGCUUCUUGGUGCGUCAAAGUAAAAGAGACCAAGAAUGUGGGCCUAACUGCUAUGUGCCCCGGGAAGCCCAAACAUUCAUUGGCGCUGGCCUGUGGAACUUUGUGCGGUGAUACAAACGGCCUGUAACUGAUGUGCUGACCCCUGGCACGAGUGGCCACCGAGCGCUUGCUAGGGCGGCGUGUGGCAAACGGCGGAU